UGGGGAAUAUUGGACAAUGGGGGAAACCCUGAUCCAGCAAUGCCGCGUGUGUGAAGAAGGUCUUCGGAUUGUAAAGCACUUUCGACGGGGACGAUGAUGACGGUACCCGUAGAAGAAGCCCCGGCUAACUUCGUGCCAGCAGCCGCGGUAAUACGAAGGGGGCUAGCGUUGCUCGGAAUGACUGGGCGUAAAGGGCGCGUAGGCGGUUUGGACAGUCAGAUGUGAAAUCCCCGGGCUUAACCUGGGAACUGCAUUUGAUACGUCCAGACUAGAGUUCGAGAGAGGGUUGUGGAAUUCCCAGUGUAGAGGUGAAAUUCGUAGAUAUUGGGAAGAACACCGGUGGCGAAGGCGGCAACCUGGCUCGAUACUGACGCUGAGGCGCGAAAGCGUGGGGAGCAAACAGGAUUAGAUACCCUGGUAGUCCACGCUGUAAACGAUGUGUGCUGGAUGUUGGGUAACUUAGUUACUCAGUGUCGAAGCUAACGCGCUAAGCACACCGCCUGGGGAGUACGCCCGCAAGGUUGAAACUCAAAGGAAUUGACGGGGGCCCGCACAAGCGGUGGAGCAUGUGGUUUAAUUCGAAGC
rnacentral:rRNA from 1 species